AUACGGAGGGUGCGAGCGUUAUCCGGAUUUAUUAGGUUUAAAGGGUGUGUAGGCGGGAGCCUAAGUCAGUGGUGAAAUCUCACAGCUUAAUUGUGAAACUGCCAUUGAAACUGGGUUUCUUGAGUAUAGUUGAGGUAGGCGGAAUGUGUAAUGUAGCGGUGAAAUGCAUAGAUAUUACACAGAACACCGAUUGCGAAGGCAGCUUACUAAACUAUUACUGACGCUGAUGCACGAAAGCGUGGGGAGCGAACAGGAUUAGAUACCCGUGUAGUCC
rnacentral:rRNA from 1 species